UGGUUUUGUCAUGAAAUUGUGUGUAUAUGGAAGUCCUUGACCAAGGCAAGAACCCUAGAUCACUAGUACUACCAUAUUAAUAAUAGAUUUCAAGAAUUUAUGUUAGAGAGAUGCUAACCUUCCCUUCAAUAACACAAAUUAAAACAAAUUAUUAUAAACUUCAGUUAGUAUUCAGAAGAAAAUUCUAGCUAGUUUGCUUCACUUUCACAUGCUACAGUUGACUCCCUCUGCUUAAAUACCAUCUUUUAGGGUGCGUUUGGUUGAGCGUGUGUGCCUAGUGUCACAUGCUCAACCUCGCCGACCAACCAAACGCACUGCAGAAGAAAAACAUGCUCUGCAAUUGAGAGUAUUUUACUUCCGCUAGGUCAGAUUCCUUCAUUACCCUCCGACCCUCUCCGUUUACGAUCAUGGCUGCUCCUUCUUCCUUGCAGACCAGAGCACCAUUUGGCUCCAUUAUUACUUCAACUGAGUUGACGAUCCAUUCCUUUCACCUAAUCAGAUUUGUGGUGAUGGCACUUAUGGAACAGCAUCAGUAAGGCUGUGAAGCUUUUGGUUUGCAAUUAUGCUCCUGAUCUGAUCUUGCUAGAACAAUUUCUGGGUUGAUCUUCUCAUCCAAUGAUCCAAACUUCCAAGCAGAAUCGCUCUCUAUUCUUGGCUUCGCAAUAUCAAGAAAUUGGUGGUGUAACUGUAGAAAAUUGGAUCAAGGAAAAGAUAUGCUCAGUUAUUGAUAUGAAUGAUGGGAAGCCCCUUCUGUUUGAAGAUGACUGCCUUGGCCCUUGAGGAAGUGGAUUUAUGUGUGUUUAAUUAUAAUGAUAGAAUCCUUUUCCUUUAGCAAUUUUAAAUG